rnacentral:rRNA from 1 species
GACGAACGCUGGCGGCGUGCCUAAUACAUGCAAGUAGAACGCACAGUUUAUACCGUAGCUUGCUCCACCAUAAACUGUGAGUUGCGAACGGGUGAGUAACGCGUAGGUAACCUGCCUGGUAGCGGGGGAUAACUAUUGGAAACGAUAGCUAAUACCGCAUAAUAUUGAUUAUUGCAUGAUAAUUGAUUGAAAGAUGCUAUUGCAUCACUACCAGAUGGACCUGCGUUGUAUUAGUUAGUAGGUGAGGUAACGGCCCACCUAGGCGACGAUACAUAGCCGCCCGUGGGAGGGGAGCCGCCAAACUGGGACUGAGACAAGGCCCAAACGCCUACGGGAGGCAGCAGUAGGGGAUCCUCGGCAAUGGACGGAAGGCUGAACGAGCAACGCCGCGUGAGUGAAGAAAGUUCUCGGAUCGGAAAGCUCGGUUGUAAGGGAAGAACGGAUGUGAGAGUGGAAAGUUCACAAUGUGACGGUACCUAACCAGAAAGGGACGGCUAACUACGUG